rnacentral:rRNA from 1 species
UACGAAGGGGCUAGCGUUGUUCGGAAUUACUGGGCGUAAAGCGCGCGCAGGCGGUCUUCCAAGUUCAGUGGUGAAAGCCCGGAGCUCAACUCCGGAACUGCCAUUGAAACUGUGAGACUUGAGGAUGAGAGAGGUGAGUGGAAUUCCAGUGUAGAGGUGAAAUUCGUAGAUAUUGGGAAGAACACCGGUGGCGAAGGCGGCUCACUGGCCUCGAUUCUGAACGCUCAGGCGCG